rnacentral:rRNA from 1 species
UAUGGCUCAGGAUGAACGCGUAGCGGCAGGCUUAACACAUGCAAGUCGAGGGGCAUCGGGAGUAGCAAUACUGCCGGCGACCGGCGCAAGGGUGCGUAACGCGUGAGCAACAUGCCCGUAUCAGGGGGAUAAUCCAUGGAAACGUGGUCUAAUACCCCAUAGUAAUUAUGUAAGGCAUCUUAUAUAAUUUAAAGCUUUGGUGGAUACGGAUUGGCUCGCGUGACAUUAGCUAGAUGGUAAGGUAACGGCUUACCAUGGCUACGAUGUCUAGGGGUUCUGAGAGGAAGGUCCCCCACACUGGAACUGAGACACGGUCCAGACUCCUACGGGAGGCAGCAGUGAGGAAUAUUGGACAAUGGAUGGAAAUCUGAUCCAGCCAUGCCGCGUGCCAGGAAGACGGCCCUAUGGGUUGUAAACUGCUUUUGUAUGGGAGCAAUAAGGGCUACGUGUAGUCCGAUGAGAGUACCAUACGAAUAAGCACCGGCUAACUCCGUGCCAGCCGCAGC